CACAUGAAAUUAAUGCUUUGAAGAGUCUUUAAUCAAUCAGUAUCAAAACACAUAAUGUUUUUAUAAACCACAAAGAGGGAAUGUGGUAACAGCUGUGAAUUUGUGAGGUAAAAAGGGUUACAUAAGGGCAUGUGAAUACAAUUUAGCAUGUAUUGCAUACUCUUCUCAUGUUAGCUUGUUUGUUAGGUUAUCUCUUUUCUCAUAUUAUGUUGUUAGUCUCAUUAAAUACUCAUGUAUAAACAAAAUGUUAUCAAAAAACAAAGAAUUAAAAGAAAUAAGCAUAUAUUUAAACAGCUAUAAAUGCUCAUUUCACAUUUCAUGUGCUUCAGAUUUAAUGUCAGGGCAGGAGGAGGAGUUUAGCAUAGACACUAUACAGCAUACAGCUGGGUAAAGAUGAAUAUCACACAACACUGUGUGGAGCAGCUGCUCUGUUUUUAGUUUGUUCUUACUAUACUGUGGUCCAGUGAGUGAACAUGUUGAUCUAUAUUAUUAUACUGCUGUCAUCAAUUGAAGGUUCCAGAGCCUCAGAAGUCAUCACUCCAAAAAGUGUCAGAGUAUUUGCUCUUGAGGGUGACAAUGUGACACUCUCCUGUAACUACAGCGGUUCUGCUCGUGGUGUUCACUGGUAUCGCCAAUAUGCAGGUUUACCACCACAGUUCCUCAUACUGGAAGAUUCAGGGGUAACAACUCCAGCUAAUCCACCUGUUCCAGGAAUAACCAUCAAUCACAGAAAAACAGAAAUCCAUGUGGAUCUGAUCAUCUCCUCUGCCAACGUGUCAGACUCUGCUCUGUACUACUGUGCUCUGCAGCCCACAGUGACAGGAAACCCUAUAACACUGUACAAAAACAGUUUUCAUGUGCUUAUCAAACCUUGAUAGAAAUGUACAAACCACAGCUGGACUCAACAGCA